rnacentral:misc_RNA from 1 species
UCCGGUGGGCCUCGGUGUUCACUUGUGGUUCCUGUGUUGACUACCCAUUUACGGCAUUCUUNUGGUGCGAAGAUCGGUUCCUUCCACACCCCCUNGUGGAGGNUGAUGGGGGAUUUNUAAUUUGNUGCGUGUUUUGCGUUUGUUNUGCGUUGUAAUGGCUCACGUGGCCACACGUGUNUAUUGUUCCCUUGGGUGCGGUGCCUGCGGUGAAUGUGGGNUGGUGUUUGUGCCCCGUUUAGUCCCCUAUGAUGUAUCGGUUGCCUUUCAAAGACACUUGCCGUAGNGCCGGUCUUGUUNUCCCAUGGCGGUGGCAACACUUGCAC